rnacentral:rRNA from 1 species
CAGUCGCCGCGGUAAUACGAAGGGUGCAAGCGUUAAUCGGAAUUACUGGGCGUAAAGCGUGCGUAGGCGGUGAGUUAAGUCUGCUGUGAAAUCCCCGGGCUCAACCUGGGAAUGGCAGUGGAUACUGGCUCGCUAGAGUGUGUCAGAGGAUGGUGGAAUUCCCGGUGUAGCGGUGAAAUGCGUAGAGAUCGGGAGGAACAUUAGUGGCGAAGGCGGCCAUCUGGGACAACACUGACGCUGAGGCACGAAAGCGUGGGGAGCAAACAGGAUUAGAUACCCGCGUAGUCCCUGUCUCUUAUAC